CAAUGCACACAAUUAGUCGUGGCAAGAUAAUAUCGCAAAAAUUGGGCCUUCUACCUGUACCAUCGUCUACUUCACCAUCAUCUACGCUUCAACGAAGACCGGAAACAGACAGACUCGGCGAAUGAAAUAGGUGGACAGACGGAUGUGUAAAAUUCGUUUGUUUCAAGAACGAGAGCUCGAUCCGCAAACGAAACGAUGUACGCUGUUAGCUGGGAACAAGAGACGCAAAGGAACGAAACGGCCGGAACAGAAACACAGCGAAUGCGGUUCCCACGAGACGAGUGCGCAUCGAGCUUGAAAACCACCGAACAGUAACAAAUCGUACACAGAGUGGGCCCUAUUCCAAACAGACGUCCAAUCUAACGAAUUAAUACCUUUUUCAGGAAUCAAUUAUUACUCUUCGUUUGAGAUUACUCGAAAGGUAAUUAUCUGCAGAACCAAACAACGAUUCAAUUUCGACGAGAUAUCAACAAAAUGAUGAACCAAAAAAAACCAUCGAGAAAUUGAUUCUAAGAUGUGAUUCUGUAAGAUUGCAAUAUUAGAAUCACGAAGAUAACCUAUAAAGAUCUGAAAUAGGACAAACAUCUCAAUAUACAUCAUGUAACGCGGUAACCGCAUUCUAUAGAGUACAAGAAACAUGAAAGCUCCCGGACGAUUUGUCACGUACCUGAUCCUUGGCGAAUUGAAACCACGUGCUGAU